AGAACGAACGCUGGCGGCGUGCCUAACACAUGCAAGUCGAACGAGAAAGGGGCUUCGGCUCCGAGUAAAGUGGCGCACGGGUGAGUAACACGUAGGUAACCUGCCUCUAAGAUUGGGAUAACUUGUCGAAAGACGAGCUAAUACCAAAUAAGACCACGGUCUCCUCGGGGACAGAGGUCAAAGGUAGCCUCUAUUUAUAAGCUAUCGCUGAGAGAUGGGCCUGCGUACCAUUAGCUUGUUGGUGAGGCAACGGCUCACCAAGGCAAAGAUGGUUAGCUGGUCUGAGAGGAUGAUCAGCCACACUGGAACUGAGACACGGUCCAGACCUCCGUACGGGAGGCAGACAGGUAGGGGAAUAGUUGCGACAAGUGGGACGAAAGCCUAGACGCGAGCCAACGCCGCGUGAGUGAGUGAAGGCCGUUACGGUACGUAAAGUCUCGUGUACGGUAGGAACG
rnacentral:rRNA from 1 species